GGGUGCAUUCUGCAUGUUCGGGUUGGCUUUCUGACUGCGAUACCAGGGGGGGGGGUAGAAAGCUCAGGUUCUUACCCCAUGCUCAAAAUUACAGAGCUUUAGGAGAGCAUUAUGCACGUACUUUUAGUUUUUAAAGUUCUGGGCCGCCAAAGUUGGGGGGUCGGUCCUCGUCCCUGGGGGUCCGUCUGUCGCUGCUCUGCGCGGGCCGGCCACGUCCUGCUGGGCGGACACCUUUUGCAGCGCGAUGAGUUUGGGGCCCGACUACACCGGAGCUUCUCCCAGCGGCAGUCGUAUGACGACGCCUGCGGCUGUUACGUUCGUCGCAAGGGGGAUGCGCUUGAACACAGAUGUUGCUGGUAAUGUCCGACGUUGAUGUCAGGUAUUGCACCAAAGUAAACCAGGCCUUGAUAAAUCCACUGGGUCGUCGUUGGCGGUCAGGAUAUAGUUGUAGGCUUGGGCGCCGAGCCAGGAGGGCUGGGGUCGCGCAAUGCCUGAGAGAGAAUGUGCCGGGGCGGACUGCGGGCAAUGACACGAGCGUGUCAAGCCGAACACAAGUCCAAGCAACGGUACUCUUUGGGCGCUGUCUCACUCAGCUGCCUUCUCCCUUAAUAUGAACACAAACUGGCUGCUGUAGGCCAAGCGUCGGGCUGGCGAUGCAACCGAGAUGGAACCGGAAUCUCAAUAGGCAGUCCGUUGUUCCCAAACAGAGCUCAGAUGUGAGCUGGAGGUCUUGUUGGAGGUCUUGAAUAGCUCAGGGUCUUGACCCAGUGGACUCGGUGACGAUUCGAUGCUCGCAAGCCGGUCUUCACGUUGGGGUCGUCAGGAGAAUCUCAGAGUAGUCUUAAAUAGAAGAUACACCAGAAGGAUAGCUGAAUCCAGAAAGAAGGUCAAAGCCUUGGCAGAGCUGUCGGCAGGUGGCGAUGACCUUGGCCAAGGGGCUCGCGAGGCUCGUUGACGUCGCUCAGGCGCUUGAAGCCGCCGAAUUACGCAGUUGAGAUGCGUAUGAUACCACAGGACCGCGUCGCAGGGGCAGACGGGUCACGAAGAGUCGCGCACGGGGUCGAUGCGACCAGGCGUGCGGAUGCGGAAGCCGGGGCACAGGGGCCCGCUGAAACGGAGGCUCGGGCUGAAGGCCGAUGCCUCAAUCACUGUCGCGCCUUGGCGCUGGAAACUUGCGGACAGGCUCGCUGUCAGGGGAGAAGAGCCCUUGAGGGCUGGGAGACUGUUCUUCCGGUAUGAGCAAGGUUCGUGCUUGUCAAUUACUCGUGGCGUAUUACACAGGAGUGCCGGGUUCCUUUCUUGGCGCUCCGGAGCGGUCCUAUAUUGCCCCGGGCACCUUCCACCAUCGCGAUUGGCGCAGGGGAGCUAGGCCUGGAAGGUGCAGGGGCCAGCUUCCACUCAGGCUUUGCCCUCAUGCAGCGUCCCCAUGCAGCGCCUGGACUACCCCCUGCUUGCGUCGCUAUUUGGAAAUGCGCACCGUAGCUCAAACAACGCCCCAGGGCCACCAGGGGCACGGGGCAAGCUAGGGAAGAGUGUGAGCAUCAAUGCCCAGUCUCCAUCCCUCAACCCGCCCUGUUCUCUAGUCGUCCCUCAAAGUCUAGGCCUGCAAACGCUAUCGCCGCCUAGAAAAGUCACACAAAAGCAAGCGCGCUAGGCUCCCGGACUACGGGCAUGGGCGGCGGCCCAAAGACCGUCGCCGCGGCCAGGGUAGCCGGAGGGCCGAACCGCAUAGAAUGGCUCCGCGUCAACGAGCGCCCAUUGGGGAAACGCUCCUACCGCUUCAACCUAAUCAAUUAUCGUAUUCACACGUCGCCGUAGGACUCGAGCAAUCAAGUCCCCUAUGCAGCGAGCUUCCGCAAAUCCAUGCCCGGACUGUCGUCGACAGACUGCAGCCCAUUCCUCGUUAUGCCAUAUUCUUAUGUACAGAUGUAUGUGCAAAUCACACUCGCGUAGCCCUGUGCCCUUCUGGCCGCGUACUGUCAGGGUCCAGGGCCUAGUUCUACCGAUGCCUACGUCUCCUCCUCGCCGCGUCUACAAACACUGCUCAGACCGGCCAAUACCAUCUCAGUGGUCUCCGUAAGACCAUAUUGUAUCGUGCCCACAUCUCGCCGAGCACUUGGUGGCAGUCCAUGUUCCUGCCCCUUCCGUCACACCAUCGUGUCACGGCCUUUCCUUAUGUCUCUCCCUCCCUUUCCGCCGUCUAGCCAGUUGCCCGAGGCUUACGUGUUAUUGCCUCAUGUAUUCGUUUUGAAAUGCACUCUCAGGUUCAACCGCCGGCACAUACCCUAGUCGUGACCGCGGUGCCUUAAUGCGUGCGUAGCCCCGCGUGCGGACUAAAGUGCCCACAGCGCGCUCGGGCGGACACGCAAUGCAAUAAGCGUCCGGACAGCGCUAUGCGUCGGCACACGCGAAGCAGCUACAGCUGUCGCUUGCCCUCGUGUAAGCCACGAGUCCCAGCGUGGCCCAAAUGCCGACGCUAACCGCUACGCACGCGCCUGCCCAGCUUGCCAUUUCCCAAAAAAAACAGGGGCUGUGCCCCGUACGUGGCCUGCAGGAUAACCAAUGACCAAGCUUCAAAGCCCUUCCUCAUUCAACUAAGCAAAUCCAUAUCAAGCCAGAUGCAGGUGCCAUGCCAGCCUUGAUGCCACCUGGCGCCACAGCGGCAGGGUUUGGCACCCUAUAAAUGCCAGACGCUUUCGCAACUGGGCCGCUCCAAAUGUUCAACCUGACUCAAAAUAACCCGUUUGAAGACACUCCAGUGCACCACAUUAUGGCUGCACUUGUUUAUAUUACAACACAGCCACACCUGUCAACCGGGUCAAACCUCUCAAUGCCCCCUCCCUGGGGACUACGUGUCCCGCUUCCUUGCGCAUCAUACCGUAUGGAGCCAUUCGCCUGCCCACUUCGCCUUCGCUUCUAGGCUGUGGCUUCGCCACCAUAACUUUAAAACCAAAUGCCCCAGACCCUGGGCUUGACAAUCAUACAUCUAGUCAUGUGGGGGCGGGGCCAAUGUGUGGACCUUUCCCACGCACUAACUCUCAUGGGUAUCCCCUAUGUCACCAAGCCUCUUGCCGUCAUACAAAAUUUCGCCCGAAGGCCACCGCUCCCGGCGCUGCCUGCCCUCGUGUAGCUGGCAGCUAGUCCGGGGGCUGUUGCUGAGACACGCGGCUGGGCGGCUUAUAUGAAGGGUUUUGCGGGGGGCGCUUGGCCGCCAGCCGCUUGCGAAGCUCCUUCAGGUUCCGCUGCACUGCCUGCUGCUUUAGUAAGUGAUAGUGAGGUAGGCGCCUGCUGCGUGCAGGCUGCCGUGGGCCGCGGCGUGUCACAGUGACCGCCGCCACCACCGCUCCCGUUGCUGCUGCCUUCACUGUUGUUGCCCCGGCCGCCAGCCCGCCACCACCGCUGCGGUGGUAAUCGCUGGUGCCACCGCUGCUGCCGCCGGACGCGGCGCCGGUAGGGCUGUUGUGACUGCCUGGCCCACAGGCUUGCUGCUGGCUCCCAAGCGCAGAUACUGGGUGCGACAAGGGUUCGUCCGGCUCAGAGCCGUCUAGCAUGAGCAACAGCCGGGUGUGGCUGUCACGGUGGCGCUGGCGCGGCUGCUGAUCGCGAGCUUCUGCCACCGUCGCUACCGGCAUCUGGUGCUGCACGUCUGACAGCCCAGGCCCGCCCACACUAGGCGUCAGCGUGCCUGUGGUGCCGCUGCCAGGGCUGGUUGACGCCACGUACACGUGCAUACCCAGCCGUGCGAGCAGGUCUGGCGGCUCAUCUUCGCCGCCGCCACGCGUGAUGGCGAUGGGUGUGGUGUGGCGGCCGCCCUCGUCAUCGUCAUACUCCAGGACGCCGCGGCUAUAGCUGAUAUCCGCGCGGAUAGGGCCCAGGAAGCUGUUGCCCAGUAGCACGUCAUAGUUUGCUGCGUCCAGCACGUACAUCUCCACCGUCCGUGUCAGCCCGGCCAGGCACACCACCACCUUGACUUUUCCCCUGGCGGGUUCCUCCGUGCCGUUGGCGUGGUAAAACUUAAUGCGGGUGGGGCGGAUGCUGUUCAAAAGGCCCAGCUCUGACAGGGCGUGCCGCGUGAUGACGCAGUUGGAGGCGCCGGUGUCAACGCACGUGCGUAGCCCCACCUCGCCGCCGUUGACGUCAUAGCACGCCGCCGAGACACGGCAUAUCUGGAACUGAGGCUGCUGCAGGCUGCAGCUGGGAGUGUCCUCCUCGGAGGUGCUGACGUGCUGCACCCCCGCUGGCUGGGCCUCUGCCAGCAGGCCUCCCUUGGCGCCGGAGCUGCUGCCGUACGCGCCGCCACUAGCACUGCGCGCCAGGCCCAAGCACUUGCCGCCCACCUUAGCAAGGAUGGCACGGCUGUCACAUUGCACUGAUUUGGCCAGAGAGAUAGAGUGGGCCGCGAUCUUGGCGAAGACGUCGUCUGCCACCUGGGUCUCUUCGGUACGCGCUACUGCUGGGUCUGUGCGCGCCGCCACUCUGGGUACUGCUGGCUUGGGGUCGGGUGGCGCGGCUCUCGUAGCCUGCACCACUGGCGGGGCCGCCACCGCCGCACGCGCCGGUGCGGCACGUGGCUCCUCCCGCACCGGCAGCGGCGCCAGCCCUGCUGCCCUCGUGUUGUUUGAAGCUCGGGGUCUGUCCGCGUCGGGCAGCGGCCUGGCCGCCGCCUCACGCACACCCCGUCCUACCGCUGCUGCCGCUGAGGCUGUGCCCGCCGGCGGUGCCCGCGGUAGGCUCGCCGCCGCCACACGGGGCGGUGGCUCAGCAGCCUUGACCGGCCGCUCAAUCAGCGGUCUGGUCCAACCGUCACCGCCCGUCUGGUAGGGGCGCGGUAACUUGGCCGCGGCUUCCUCCUGGAACCGUCCGCCAGCGGUGUAGUGCCGUGGCGGUCGCCGGUCCACCUCCAUACGUGUAUCCGGGCUGAGGGGCUCUCGGCUGCGGGGCAGCCGCUGGCCCAGGUCGAAGUCCCGGAUCCGCUUGAGCUCACUGGCCAGGAGCUCGCCCUCCGACACGUCGCUGUCGGAGUCAUACACGCUGCCACACUCCGAGCUGUUGUGGUCACGCCACAUCAUGUUCAGCUCGCGACGGUGCCGGUCUCGGCCUUGGUCACGCCGCCCGUCACUGCGGUCGCGCAUGUUCAGGCUCAGGCGCGCCAUCUGGGUGUGCAGCCGUGCCAGGUCGUGUGGGGUGGCGAGGUUGCGGCCGGAGCGCUCCGCGUCGCCACCAACACCAGCACUGCCGUUGGCACCACCGCCGCCGCCGCUGCCGCGGCGGCUGUGAUUGUCGUUGCCGCCUCCCUCUGAUCGGGAUGGGCGGCGUUCUUCAUCGCGAUGCAGGUCGCGAUAGCCGCGGCUCCACGAAGACCGCGGGCGCUCCACGGUGCGUGGCUCGUCCUCAAAGCGCACGCGGCGGUCGCCGGCGUCCUCGCUGCCGGUGGAGUCGCCAUCGUUCAGGCCGUCAUCCAGGAGCAGCGCCCGCCAGUCAUGCUUGCUGAUGAGCUCGAUGGCGUCCCGGAUAGUCUGCUGCAGUGAGCCAGUGGCGGGACGGAACAAGUCCAGAGCAACUGACGCUGACUUGCGCAGGCCGCGGACGUAGGCUCGCACGAUGGAGGGGUCGGUCAGCUGCUGGGCCCGCCUGGCGAGGGUAAGGAAACGGUUGGAGUACGCUGCGACGCCCUCACCGGGCUGCUGCGCACAAUCCAGCAGCUGCUCAGUCCAGUCCGAAGAUGAAAAGCCAAACUGUUCAAGGAAUGAUGUCUUGAAGUUGUCCCAUAGAAGUGGACCCAGCUGCAGAACCUUCCAUGCACGGUACCAGGUCUUGGCAGCGGACUCCAGCUUCUCUGACACCUUGUCCACGUAGUCACACGGGCGAUAGCCCAGGCGUGCCAUCUCCUCCUCAAUAUCCUCCAGCCACUCGUGUGGGUCUGCUGAGCCGUUGUAACUGGUGACCCCCUGCCAGCGGAAGAAAACCGCUAGCAUGUCCGUGGCCAUGCUGGGUGCCGCGGGUGCACUGGGCCGGGGGGGUGUAGUGCUGAGGGCUGGCCCCUGGCGGGGCCGGUUGGCAGCCGACUUGGUCGGAGUGCCACCGGGGUCUGGGGGACCCAAUACCAGAUCUGGAGAGGCGAAGGGGGUACCAGACGGCUGUAGAGUCAGGGUUGCCGUAGCUGUCACACACAACACCAACUGGUGCGUGUGAGUAGUUUAUGCCAGGUAGGCUGCAGAAGUAUAGACUUGUAGUCUGUAGUCGGAAAAGAAGUCGUAGUCAAUAAAUACUCAAGCUUGUAAAUGCAGAAUAGCUUGAACUUGACGACGAAGAAGAGAAGUCGAUGAGUCGUAAGUCCCGGUAGCGAAACCAGCUCUGCGCGGGCCGGCCACGUCCUGCUGGGCGGACACCUUUUGCAGCGCGAUGAGUUUGGGGCCCGACUACACCGGAGCUUCUCCCAGCGGCAGUCGUAUGACGACGCCUGCGGCUGUUACGUUCGUCGCAAGGGGGAUGCGCUUGAACACAGAUGUUGCUGGUAAUGUCCGACGUUGAUGUCAGGUAUUGCACCAAAGUAAACCAGGCCUUGAUAAAUCCACUGGGUCGUCGUUGGCGGUCAGGAUAUAGUUGUAGGCUUGGGCGCCGAGCCAGGAGGGCUGGGGUCGCGCAAUGCCUGAGAGAGAAUGUGCCGGGGCGGACUGCGGGCAAUGACACGAGCGUGUCAAGCCGAACACAAGUCCAAGCAACGGUACUCUUUGGGCGCUGUCUCACUCAGCUGCCUUCUCCCGUAAUAUGAACACAAACUGGCUGCUGUAGGCCAAGCGUCGGGCUGGCGAUGCAACCGAGAUGGAACCGGAAUCUCAAUAGGCAGUCCGUUGUUCCCAAACAGAGCUCAGAUGUGAGCUGGAGGUCUUGUUGGAGGUCUUGAAUAGCUCAGGGUCUUGACCCAGUGGACUCGGUGACGAUUCGAUGCUCGCAAGCCGGUCUUCACGUUGGGGUCGUCAGGAGAAUCUCAGAGUAGUCUUAAAUAGAAGAUACACCAGAAGGAUAGCUGAAUCCAGAAAGAAGGUCAAAGCCUUGGCAGAGCUGUCGGCAGGUGGCGAUGACCUUGGCCAAGGGGCUCGCGAGGCUCGUUGACGUCGCUCAGGCGCUUGAAGCCGCCGAAUUACGCAGUUGAGAUGCGUAUGAUACCACAGGACCGCGUCGCAGGGGCAGACGGGUCACGAAGAGUCGCGCACGGGGUCGAUGCGACCAGGCGUGCGGAUGCGGAAGCCGGGGCACAGGGGCCCGCUGAAACGGAGGCUCGGGCUGAAGGCCGAUGCCUCAAUCACUGUCGCGCCUUGGCGCUGGAAACUUGCGGACAGGCUCGCUGUCAGGGGAGAAGAGCCCUUGAGGGCUGGGAGACUGUUCUUCCGGUAUGAGCAAGGUUCGUGCUUGUCAAUUACUCGUGGCGUAUUACACAGGAGUGCCGGGUUCCUUUCUUGGCGCUCCGGAGCGGUCCUAUAUUGCCCCGGGCACCUUCCACCAUCGCGAUUGGCGCAGGGGAGCUAGGCCUGGAAG
rnacentral:lncRNA from 1 species